rnacentral:rRNA from 1 species
AGACGGGGACCCGCACAAGCGGUGGAUGAUGUGGAUUAAUUCGAUGCAACGCGAAAACCUUACCUACCCUUGACAUGCCAGGAACUUGCCAGAGAUGGCUUGGUGCCCGAAAGGGAGCCUGGACACAGGUGCUGCAUGGCUGUCGUCAGCUCGUGUCGUGAGAUGUUGGGUUAAGUCCCGCAACGAGCGCAACCCUUAUCAUUAGUUGCCAUCAUUCAGUUGGGCACUCUAAUGAGACUGCCGGUGACAAACCGGAGGAAGGUGGGGAUGACGUCAAGUCCUCAUGGCCCUUAUAGGUGGGGCUACACACGUCAUACAAUGGCCGGUACAGAGGGUAGCCAACCCGCGAGGGGGAGCCAAUCCCACAAAGCCGGUCGUAGUCCGGAUCGCAGUCUGCAACUCGACUGCGUGAAGUCGGAAUCGCUAGUAAUCGUGGAUCAGCAUGUCACGGUGAAUACGUUCCCGGGUCUU